AUUGAACGCUGGCGGCAGGCUUAACACAUGCAAGUCGAGCGAGCGGCGGACGGGUGAGGAAUGUCUGGGAAACUUCCUUAUGGAGGGGGAUAACUUCUGGAAACUGUAGCUUAUACCGCAUACCAUCAGAUGUGCCCAGAUGGGAUUAGCUAGUAGGUGGGGUAAUGGCUCACCUAGGCGACGAUCCCUAGCUGGUCUGAGAGGAUGACCAGCCACACUGGAACUGAGACACGGUCCAGACUCCUACGGGAGGCAGCAGUGGGGAAUAUUGCACAAUGGGCGCAAGCCUGAUGCAGCCAUGCCGCGUGUGUGAAGAAGGCCUUCGGGUUGUAAAGCACUUUCAGCGAGGAGGCGUUACUCGCAGAAGAAGCACCGGCUAACUACGUGCCAGCAGCCGCGGUAAUUC
rnacentral:rRNA from 1 species